rnacentral:lncRNA from 1 species
GUCUUUGUGUGUGCUCAGCCCAGGACUGAAUGCACAGCAGGCUGUCAGGAAGUAGUCAUGGAUUGAUGUGUCCGUAUUCGCCAUAACCAAGCAGGAGAUAGAUGAUUUCGUUCUGGUCUCUGGAUUUUGGCUGCAUUUUCUCUCAUAGUAGGAAUUAUUCCCGGAAGAUCCAAAUGCUCAGCUUUGUCCUCCUCUCAUCCUGGUGAGGCGUGUGAUCCAGAUUCCUGGGAACACCACCAUGGAGGGCCUGGCCUUUGGCGGUGGACAGUCUGUGGCUGGGUGGGAACGUCAGGAGUGGGGCCUGCCUCUUUGCUGGGAAUGCCGUGCACUCCCAGCCCACUUGCCCCAUGCCAGCACUCGAGGCAGGACUUCGCAGGUGAGCAGUAACGGAAAUCAGCCCCGUUUAUUCCUCCCAGCACCUGCCUUAUCCAACUCCCCACGCUGUGGCUGAGUCCCAGCCUGCUAUGGAAGCAUCACUGGACUCCCAUUGAACUCUGUGCAGAUUCGCUGUUCGUAGACAUGGUACCUGAUGGACACCAAGCUACGUACAGCUUCAAGGCCCCUUCUUUCUUUGCUAAUAAAAAAUAAAAAAUAAAAACAUAA